AAUGGACUGCCCUUCGCGUAGAAAUCCGCAUGUCUUCCGGGCCAACACUACUUAUUAGGGAACUGUCACUGGCAGGAUCGUGGUCCUGUUAUAUGGUGCCCACCUUAUCUUGCGGGUAUCGGAUAGAAUGAACUGAUUUACGGUCUGGGCGGUCCGCCU
rnacentral:other from 2 species